rnacentral:rRNA from 1 species
GAGUUUGAUCCUGGCUCAGAUUGAACGCUGGCGGCAUGCUUUACACAUGCAAGUCGAACGGCAACAGGGUGCUUGCACCGCUGACGAGUGGCGAACGGGUGAGUAAUAUAUCGGAACGUACCUGGUAAUGGGGGAUAACUAUCCGAAAGGAUAGCUAAUACCGCAUACGCCCCGAGGGGGAAAGUGGGGGACUCGCAGGAGCCUCACGUUAUCAGAGCGGCCGAUAUCAGAUUAGCUAGUUGGUGAGGUAAAGGCUCACCAAGGCAACGAUCUGUAGCGGGUCUUAGAGGACGAUCCGCCACACUGGAACUGAGACACGGUCCAGACUCCUACGGGAGGCAGCAGUGGGGAAUCUUGGACAAUGGGCGAAAGCCUGAUCCAGCAAUGCCGCGUGCGUGAAGAAGGCCUUCGGGUUGUAAAGCGCUUUUGUUCGGGAGGAAAUCCUAAGGGCUAAUAUCUCUUGGGGAUGACAGUACCGGAAGAAUAAGGACCGGCUAACUACGUGCCAGCAGCCGCGGUAAUACGUAGGGUCCAAGCGUUAAUCGGAAUUACUGGGCGUAAAGGGUGCGCAGGUAGUUUAUUAAGUGUGAUGUGAAAGCCCCGGGCUCAACCUGGGAAUUGCAUUGCAAACUGGUAAACUAGAGUAUGGCAGAGGGGGGUGGAAUUCCGCGUGUAGCAGUGAAAUGCGUAGAGAUGCGGAGGAACACCGAUGGCGAAGGCAACCCCCUGGGCUAAUACUGACACUCAUGCACGAAAGCGUGGGGAGCAACAGGAUUAGAUACCCUGGUAGUCCACGCCC